rnacentral:rRNA from 1 species
AACAUUUCCAGUAGCGGGGGAUAACCUGUCGAAAGAUAGGCUAAUACCGCAUACGCCCCACGGGGGAAAGCGGAGGACCGCAAGGCUUCGCACUAUUGGAGUGGCCGGUGUCGGAUUAGCUAGUUGGUGGGGUAAAAGCCCACCAAGGCUACGAUCCGUAGCUGGUCUGAGAGGACGAUCAGCCACACUGGAACUGAGACACGGUCCAGACUCCUACGGGAGGCAGCAGUGGGGAAUUUUGGACAAUGGGCGCAAGCCUGAUCCAGCCAUGCCGCGUGAGUGAAGAAGGCCUUCGGGUUGUAAAGCUCUUUCGGUGGGGACGAAAAGGUUCGUGCUAAUACCACGGACUAAUGACGGUACCCGAAGAAGAAGCACCGGCUAACUACGUGCCAGCAGCCGCGGUAAUACGUAAGGUGCAGGCGUUAAUCGGAAUUACUGGGCGUAAAGCGUGCGCAGGCGGUUUGUUAAGACAGAUGUGAAAUCCCCGGGCUUAACCUGGGAACUGCGUUUGUAACUGGCAAGCUAGAGUGUGGCAGAGGGGGGUGGAAUUCCAAGUGUAGCAGUGAAAUGCGUAGAUAUUUGGAGGAACACCGAUGGCGAAGGCAGCCCCCUGGGCUAACACUGACGCUCAUGCACGAAAGCGUGGGGAGCAAACAGGAUUAGAUACCCUGGUAGUCCACGCCCUAAACUAUGUC